UCUCCCACCCUUUGUGAACAUACCUCUGUUGCUUUGGCGGCUCUUGCCGCGUGGAGGCCCUCAAAAAGCCCCCCCGUGCGCUUCCGCCAGAGGACCUUCAAACUCCAGUCAGUAAACGUCGACGUCUGAAAAACAAGUUAAUAAACUAAAACUUUCAACAACGGAUCUCUUGGUUCUGGCAUCGAUGAAGAACGCAGCGAAAUGCGAUAAGUAAUGUGAAUUGCAGAAUUCAGUGAAUCAUCGAAUCUUUGAACGCACAUUGCGCCCCUUGGCAUUCCGAGGGGCAUGCCUGUUCGAGCGUCAUUACAACCCUCAAGCUCUGCUUGGUAUUGGGCGACGUCCUCUCUGCGGACGCGCCUCAAAGACCUCGGCGGUGGCUGUUCAGCCCUCAAGCGUAGUAGAAUACACCUCGCUUUGGAGCGGUUGGCGUCGCCCGCCGGACGAACC
rnacentral:rRNA from 1 species